GUUCGCUCGUUCUAGAGGUUAGGAUUCGGCGCCCUCAACUCCAUGGCCUGGGUUCGAUUCCCGGGCAGGGGAUG